GGGAAUUAACUUGAGUGGAGGUCAACGGCAACGCAUCUGUGUCGCUCGAGCACUCUACCAAAACGCCAACAUCGUCUUCCUGGAUGACCCAUUUUCUGCCUUGGACAUUCACCUCAGUGACCACUUAAUGCAAGAAGGUAUCCUAAAGUUCCUGAAAGAUGAUAAAAGGACACUCGUCUUAGUGACCCAUAAACUACAGUAUUUGCCACAUGCUGACUGGAUCAUUGCCAUGAAAGAUGGCACUGUUCUUCGAGAAGGGACCCUGAAGGACAUCCAGACUAAAGACGUGGAGCUUUACGACCACUGGAAAACUCUCAUGAAUCGUCAAGACCAGGAAUUGGAAAAGGUA